ACAUUGCCAGUCGAGCGGAACGAGUUAUCUGAACCUUCGGGGAACGAUAACGGCGUCGAGCGGCGGACGGGUGAGUAAUGCCUAGGAAAUUGCCCUGAUGUGGGGGAUAACCAUUGGAAACGAUGGCUAAUACCGCAUGAUGCCUACGGGCCAAAGAGGGGGACCUUCGGGCCUCUCGCGUCAGGAUAUGCCUAGGUGGGAUUAGCUAGUUGGUGAGGUAAGGGCUCACCAAGGCGACGAUCCCUAGCUGGUCUGAGAGGAUGAUCAGCCACACUGGAACUGAGACACGGUCCAGACUCCUACGGGAGGCAGCAGUGGGGAAUAUUGCACAAUGGGCGCAAGCCUGAUGCAGCCAUGCCGCGUGUGUGAAGAAGGCCUUCGGGUUGUAAAGCACUUUCAGUCGUGAGGAAGGUAGUGUAGUUAAUAGCUGCAUUAUUUGACGUUAGCGACAGAAGAAGCACCGGCUAACUCCGUGCCAGCAGCCGCGGUAAUACGGAGGGUGCGAGCGUUAAUCGGAAUUACUGGGCGUAAAGCGCAUGCAGGUGGUUUGUUAAGUCAGAUGUGAAAGCCCGGGGCUCAACCUCGGAAUAGCAUUUGAAACUGGCAGACUAGAGUACUGUAGAGGGGGGUAGAAUUUCAGGUGUAGCGGUGAAAUGCGUAGAGAUCUGAAGGAAUACCGGUGGCGAAGGCGGCCCCCUGGACAGAUACUGACACUCAGAUGCGAAAGCGUGGGGAGCAAACAGGAUUAGAUACCCUGGUAGUCCACGCCGUAAACGAUGUCUACUUGGAGGUUGUGGCCUUGAGCCGUGGCUUUCGGAGCUAACGCGUUAAGUAGACCGCCUGGGGAGUACGGUCGCAAGAUUAAAACUCAAAUGAAUUGACGGGGGCCCGCACAAGCGGUGGAGCAUGUGGUUUAAUUCGAUGCAACGCGAAGAACCUUACCUACUCUUGACAUCCAGAGAACUUUCCAGAGAUGGAUUGGUGCCUUCGGGAACUCUGA
rnacentral:rRNA from 1 species